rnacentral:rRNA from 1 species
CGGGCGACCGGCGGCACGGGUGAGUAACACGUAUGCGACCUGCCCGUAGCAGGGGGAGUAAGCGGAAGAAAAUUCCGUCUAAUACCGCGUAAUAUCUUUCGGGGGCAUCCCUGAGGGAUUAAAGGAAAGUGAUUCCGGCUACGGAUGGGCAUGCGGCGCAUUAGCUAGUCGGCGGGGUAACGGCCCACCGAGGCGACGAUGCGUAGGGGUUCUGAGAGGAAGGUCCCCCACACUGGUACUGAGACACGGACCAGACUCCUACGGGAGGCAGCAG